rnacentral:rRNA from 1 species
UGGUGGGUAGUUUGACUGGGGCGGUCUCCUCCUAAAGAGUAACGGAGGAGCACGAAGGUUGGCUAAUCCUGGUCGGACAUCAGGAGGUUAGUGCAAUGGCAUAAGCCAGCUUGACUGCGAGCGUGACGGCGCGAGCAGGUGCGAAAGCAGGUCAUAGUGAUCCGGUGGUUCUGAAUGGAAGGGCCAUCGCUCAACGGAUAAAAGGUACUCCGGGGAUAACAGGCUGAUACCGCCCAAGAGUUCAUAUCGACGGCGGUGUUUGGCACCUCGAUGUCGGCUCAUCACAUCCUGGGGCUGAAGUAGGUCCCAAGGGUAUGGCUGUUCGCCAUUUAAAGUGGUACGCGAGCUGGGUUUAGAACGUCGUGAGACAGUUCGGUCCCUAUCUGCCGUGGGCGCUGGAGAACUGAGGGGGGCUGCUCCUAGUACGAGAGGACCGGAGUGGACGCAUCACUGGUGUUCGGGUUGUCAUGCCAAUGGCACUGCCCGGUAGCUAAAUGCGGAAGAGAUAAGUGCUGAAAGCAUCUAAGCACGAAACUUGCCCCGAGAUGAGUUCUCCCUGACUCCUUGAGAGUCCUGAAGGAACGUUGAAGACGACGACGUUGAUAGGCC